AGGGGAAUAUUGGACAAUGGGCGAAAGCCUGAUCCAGCCAUGCCGCGUGUGUGAAGAAGGUCUUCGGAUUGUAAAGCACUUUAAGCUGGGAGGAAGGGCAGUAAGCGAAUACCUUGCUGUUUUGACGUUACCGACAGAAUAAGCACCGGCUAACUCUGUGCCAGCAGCCGCGGUAAUACAGAGGGUGCAAGCGUUAAUCGGAAUUACUGGGCGUAAAGCGCGCGUAGGUGGUUCGUUAAGUUGAAUGUGGAAGCCCCGGGCUCAACCUGGGAACUGCAUCCAAAACUGGCGAGCGUGGGUAGGGCAGAGGGUUGUUGAAUUUCCUGUGUAGCGAUGAAAUGCGUAGGUAUAGGAAGGAACGCCAUUGGCGUAGGCGACCACCUAAGCUCAUACUAACACUGAGGUGCGAAAGCGUGGGGAGCAAACAUG
rnacentral:rRNA from 1 species